UUAUAUAAAUAACAAUCCAUAAGCUUAUCAGAUUCAAGACGGCAUGUCUUCGUUUUUAACGUCGUCAUUACCGCUGCUGCUUGCUUUUGUUUCGUGCAUCAUGCAUCUACUUUUCAAUGGAAGCAAAUUUGCCUGCCAUGCAAAGGGGGACCGAAAUUCAGCUUCCGAACUGUUUUACAAGCCCAAUAUCCGAAAGCACUUGGCGCUUCCCUCAUAGACACAUCCCGAAUUCAAUUCGCUGCGUGAGUGUUAAUUUUCGGCAAGUUGGGGUGACGCGGCAGGUUUCGCGCGCUCUUCAACCGUCGACGCCGCCUCGGGAUCGGCAUUCGGCGGCUUGUUUAAAAUAUAUUUCAAUUUACCAAGGACUACUUAGCGACUCAAUCGAAUCGGCAAAUUGGUCGCCUCCUGUUUUUAGUAGCCGCACAUCAACACAUAUCUACCGC